AAACUUGCAAUAAAGGAAGCAGAGAAAAAAUUAAACCAUUUACUGUAAUUUUAUAAAGUUGUUUUUUUUUUGAGACAACUGUUUCCAAAGUAAGAUCAUGAGAGAGAAAAUAUUUUUAAAAAGAGUUCCUGAUUCAUAACUCUUCUUAUAAAAACUCAAUCAGGUCUUGUUCCACAACUUGCUCCAUGAUCUUGGUGUCAGAGCAGUCUAACUGACACUUUUUUUUUGUAGUACAGCUGACCUUUAGCUAGCCAUC